rnacentral:lncRNA from 1 species
GCUGCAGAGUGUGGUCCGGGCUCCAAUGGCCUUUUUUGAUUCAACACCUACUGGAAGAAUCUUAAACCGGGUGAGUAGCAUAUAGUUCAAUGCAAUUUGUUAAUGACUCUGCAGUAACAGAACUAUAAUAGCAAAUAAGUUAUACUGGAUCACAAAAUUACAUGAUUCUUCGAUUACUUAUUGGUGCAAUAUUAGGCAAUGUGAAACUUUUUUGAAUGAUAUUCAAGAAAAGAGUCGAUUGACAAUGGAGACAGGGGAUUCUCCUUUCACUUAUGAAAGGUACCCUGACCUGAAUCCAAUUCAUGAAUAUGACUAAAUUCAUCAAACCUCUGGAAGGUUGUAGUUGUAUCCAAAGAAUCCCAAUAGAGCAUGAAAACAUUUUUUCCCCCAAAGAAUCUGCUCUCUAAUGCCAAAGAACUGCCUUAACAUAAAAAAUGAGCAUUCUUUUGAGGAGGGAGACCAAUAAAUUUCCCAAAGAUAAAGAAAUUCCAAAUCAAACCCCAAGUUUCAGACUGCAUCUUUCCAACCAAAACUCUUAACUCCUGGCUUCACAGUCGGAUUUUAAAAACAAUAUCACCCCAUGAGGCUGUGGAACAGGGGAGGAGCUGAAAAUAAUGAGUGAAGCAACUAGAUAGCUUUGUCUAAUUCAUAGAGGUAUAAGAUAAAACCUGUAAUUUCUGUGAGCCUGAUUGCUUUUUGGCAGUUAUAUGAAAUAUGUACUUAAAAAUAUAGUACCAUGAUCUUCCAGAGAUUUAACAUUCAACUAUCAUAUAAGCAGGCAUCUAUUGAUCAAAGUGUGCUAGACAUGGAAAUGGCGAACAGGUUAGGCUGGUGUGCUUUUUCAGUAAUACAGAUUCUAGGAACAAUCGCAGUGAUGUCUCAGGUAGCAUGGGAAGUAUUUGUUAUCUUCAUUCCAGUAACUGCAAUCUGCAUCUGGUACCAAGUAAGAUCCCUUUGUCCUGAUCUGUAUUUAAUUUAUCUGUGUUUAAUUGGGAUGUGCAAAUCACAUGGAAUCAGAAAGAGUCUAAUUCGAUUCUACAGAAUUUUACUGCUUAAGUUUGUAAUAUAAAAGAAUGUGUCAAUACCAGAUUCAUCAAAACACUAAUAAACAUGUUGAAUCAAGAUAGUGGCUAGAAAACCUGAAAAUGCCUCUUCUUUUUCAAUCAAUACCCCAUUCUGUUGCUGUUGAUGAAAAAGAAGCAAAAUAAGUUUCUUAGUUCUUAAAAUUUUUGUUGUUGGGCUCCUGGAAGAACAUAGUUGGGUUCGAACUUCCUUUUUCAAUUCUUGCACUCCACUUUCUCAGCAAUCAAAUGGAGUGUAGUAAUACCCUUUGUAGAACUGGCCUUAUGCUAUUGGCAUUGAACUAUUGGUUAAUGGUGAUCAUUUCAGCAAUACUACAUACCAACUGCAAGAGAAUUGGGCCGUUUGGCAAGCAUACAGCAAUCUCCAAUCCUACAUCACUUUUCUGAAUCACUUUCUGGAGCUGCGACGAUCCGUGCUUUCGACCAAGAAGACCGCUUCAUUCAUGCAAAUCUUGAUCUUGUUGACAACUUCUCAAGGCCAUGGUUUCAUAAUGUGUCAGCAAUGGAAUGGCUUUCUUUCAGACUCAACGUAUUAUCCAAUUUUGUCUUCGCCUUUUCAUUGGUUUUGCUUGUGAGCCUUCCUGAAGGGAUCAUCAAUCCAAGUAAGCAUCAUAACUAGUUCAUGAUGUUUUAUCUAUCACAGAUCAUUUGCUUCCCACACAUCACAUAUCUUACAUUGUCAGAUUAAUCAAAAGAGUGCUUAUCUUGGAGUGGAUAUUUUACAGGCAUCGCAGGGUUAGCAGUAACAUAUGGAAUAAAUUUGAAUGUUCUACAAGCUUCAGUUAUAUGGAACAUUUGCAAUGCAGAGAAUAAAAUGAUCUCAGUUGAAAGAAUUCUUCAGUAUUCAAAAAUUAAAAGUGAAGCACCUCUUGUGAUUGAAGAGUGCAGACCAGAAAAUAACUGGCCCCAAGUUGGAACAAUUUGCUUCCAGAAUUUGCAGGUAUAAUUCUACCAUGAGGUUUCAACAUCAAAAGAAUUAGGAUUAAGACUUGGAGAUGCAUUUUGAUAUUAAUCAAACCAUAAACAUUUGAAAAUUUCUGUCCAUACUGCACUAACAUGCAUAUUUCCCCAUGUUGCAGAUCCGUUAUGCUGAACACCUCCCAUCUGUUCUCAAAAACAUUAGCUGCACAUUUCCUGGAGGGAUGAAGAUUGGAGUUGUAGGAAGGACUGGA